rnacentral:rRNA from 1 species
GGACUACAAGGGUAUCUAAUCCCGUUUGCUCCCCACGCUUUCGCGCAUCAGCGUCAGUACCGGUCCAGGGGGCCGCCUUCGCCACCGGUGUUCCUCCCAAUAUCUACGCAUUUCACCGCUACACUGGGAAUUCCACCCCCCUCUCCCGGACUCGAGCCUCGCAGUUUCUUCCGCACGUCCUCAGUUAAGCCGAGGGAUUUCACGAAAGACACGCGUGGCCGCCUACGCGCCCUUUACGCCCAAUAAUUCCGAAUAACGCUAGCCCCCUCUGUAUUACCGCGGCGGCUGGCAC